UAUAAAUAAGGGAGCUUGGUCUUACGAAUCGAUAUAUGAAAAUAUACGAAAACAUUAGCUUAGAGCUUUUGGCUUGCAAACACUCUUAACUCACGUUGAUUUUCAGCCCACACACAACUCACACACACUAACACCUAAAACACACACACCAUUCACGCAUAUACCAUUUUUUAGCUUGAGCUCAAGCUUUUGAGCUCCGAUUUGAGCACCGAGACGAGCGCCGAUCAUCUUUUCGAUCACGUAUCUAAGUAGGUCCUUUUGGGAAGUAACGACUUGAGGGAGAGAGUGACGUUACUCAUUGAUACAGAGACACAACGAGGUCCUUUUGGGAAGUAACGACUUGAGGGAGAGAGUGACGUUACUCAUUGAUACAGAGACACAACGAGGUUGAGCUGAUGUGAUGAUGGUGCUGCAAUGAGCGGAGUCUCCAGGGUUGUUAAUAAAUAGUUAACCUGUCUAGAAUAUGUCUUCAUACAUAUGUCUAGCUACUUUCCGCUGCAAGAUGUUGUUGAUGUUAUAGUAUGUUAUGUCAUACUUUGAGUCUUAAGAGAAUGGUUUCAUAUGAUGUAUAACUUGAUUAAUGAUAUUAAUUAAGUUUUAUGUUGUCUUUCAUAGACUGUUCAAAAGAGUAUUAAUGAGUAAAUACGAUGAUUUUUCUUAAGUUAAGUAAGAUUUACGGUUUCAAAUGAUGCCCCUUUCUUUCCCUUAUUCUUUAACCCCAUCCCUAGUCG